UGUUUGAUGUUCUAACGUUGGCCCCUGAUCGGGGUUGCGGACAGUGUCUGGUGGGUAGUUUGACUGGGGCGGUCUCCUCCUAAAGAGUAACGGAGGAGCACGAAGGUUGGCUAAUCCUGGUCGGACAUCAGGAGGUUAGUGCAAUGGCAUAAGCCAGCUUGACUGCGAGCGUGACGGCGCGAGCAGGUGCGAAAGCAGGUCAUAGUGAUCCGGUGGUUCUGAAUGGAAGGGCCAUCGCUCAACGGAUAAAAGGUACUCCGGGGAUAACAGGCUGAUACCGCCCAAGAGUUCAUAUCGACGGCGGUGUUUGGCACCUCGAUGUCGGCUCAUCACAUCCUGGGGCUGAAGUAGGUCCCAAGGGUAUGGCUGUUCGCCAUUUAAAGUGGUACGCGAGCUGGGUUUAGAACGUCGUGAGACAGUUCGGUCCCUAUCUGCCGUGGGCGCUGGAGAACUGAGGGGGGCUGCUCCUAGUACGAGAGGACCGGAGUGGACGCAUCACUGGUGUUCGGGUUGUCAUGCCAAUGGCACUGCCCGGUAGCUAAAUGCGGAAGAGAUAAGUGCUGAAAGCAUCUAAGCACGAAACUUGCCCCGAGAUGAGUUCUCCCUGAGACUUUAAGUCUCCUGAAGGAACGUUGAAGACGACGACGUUGAUAGGCCGGGUGUGUAAGCGCAGCGAUGCGUUGAGCUAACCGGUACUAA
rnacentral:rRNA from 1 species